AGAGGGUGCGAGCGUUGUCCGGAAUCACUGGGCGUAAAGGGCGCGUAGGCGGUCCGCUAAGCGUGUGGUGAAAGCUCGGGGCUCAACCCCGAGCCGGCCGUGCGAACUGGUGGACUGGAGCAUGUCAGAGGCAGGCGGAAUUCCGGGUGUAGCGGUGGAAUGCGUAGAGAUCCGGAAGAACACCGGUGGCGAAGGCGGCCUGCUGGGACAUUGCUGACGCUGAGGCGCGACAGCGUGGGGAGCAAACAGGAUUAGAUACCCUGGUAGUCCACGCCGUAAACGAUGGGCACUAGGUGCUUGGGGGAGCGACCCCCUGAGUGCCGGCGCUAACGCAUUAAGUGCCCCGCCUGGGGAGUACGGCCGCAAGGCUG
rnacentral:rRNA from 1 species